GGGGAUGACGGGCUUCGACAAGAAGUGUCAUUCUCUAUGUGCGCGUAAAGUCCACAGGAAUCUUUUUAAACUUCUUGUAAAAGACUAUCUGCAAAGAACGUCGCUUCAGUAAAGUCACCAUACGCUGGUAACUUUACUCUCGCAUUCGCCUAACAAAACGGCCGUGUGAGUGUCCUCUCUUUUGAUAUCCGAUAUAAAGAGUAGGGCAUAAUACUAUCGGAAUACGGACAAAAGAAAGCUUGUCUUUCGUCCCGACAAUAUAAAGCUCGGUAUGUAUUUUUCUUUCUUGCUCUUUUGAAUACAUACCUAAACCCACUGAACAAGAUACACGCGUAGAUUCAUAGAGAACUGCUUUUUGCAUCUGGGUUCAACUCCCAGCAUCUCCACAA
rnacentral:tmRNA from 1 species